GAUGAACGCUGGCGGCGUGGCUUAACACAUGCAAGUCGAACGAGAAUCAACGGAUUGGAGGAUUCGUACCAAAUGAAGUUGAGGAAAGUGGCGGACGGGUGAGUAACGCGUGAGGAACCUGCCUCGGAGUGGGGAAUAACAGUUGGAAACAGCUGCUAAUACCGCAUGAUGCAACGGAAUCGCAUGACUCUGUUGCCAAAGAUUUAUCGCCCAGGGAUGAGCCCGCGUAAGAUUAGGUAGUUGGUGAGGUAAAGGCUCACCAAGCCGACGAUCUUUAGCUGGUCUGAGAGGAUGAUCAGCCACACUGGGACUGAGACACGGCCCAG
rnacentral:rRNA from 1 species